rnacentral:snoRNA from 1 species
GUAUUUUAGGUGAUGAUACAAAUUAAUAUGCAUAGUUCAACUGAUAUUAACUGAAGAAAAACUUAACCAUCGUCUUUCGCUCCUAUCUGAUUCAUAAAAAUA